rnacentral:rRNA from 1 species
AGGGCACCACCAGGAGUGGAGCCUGCGGCUUAAUUUGACUCAACACGGGGAAACUCACCCGGUCCGGACAACGUUAGGAUGCACAGAUUGAUAGCUCUUUGCUGAUUCGUUGAUUGGUGGUGCAUGGCCGUUCUUAGUUGGUGGAGUGAUUUGUCUGGUUAAUUCCGAUAACGAACGAGACUCUUUCCUGCUAAAUAGUUCAUUACCAUCUGUUGCCUUGUGUAACUAUAGGUGAUGCAAACUUCUUAGAGGGAUUCGCGAUAUAAAAUCGCACGAAGUAGAGCAAUAACAGGUCUGUGAUGCCCUUAGAUGUCCGGGGCCGCACGCGCGCUACAUUGACAGUAACAACAAGUAUUCACACCUGGUCUGAAAAGAUUGGGAAAUCUUUGAAUUACUGUCUCCUCAGGGAUUGAGGUUUGUAAUUAUCCCUCAUGAACGAGGAAUUCCUAGUAGGCGUAAGUCAUCAGCUUGCGCCGAUUACGUCCCUGCCCUUUGUACACACCGCCCGUCGCUACUACC